rnacentral:rRNA from 1 species
AGAGUUUGAUCCUGGCUCAGAUUGAACGCUGGCGGCAUGCCUUACACAUGCAAGUCGAACGGUAACAGGUCUUCGGAUGCUGACGAGUGGCGAACGGGUGAGUAAUACAUCGGAACGUGCCCGAUCGUGGGGGAUAACGAGGCGAAAGCUUUGCUAAUACCGCAUAAGAUCUAUGGAUGAAAGCAGGGGACCGCAAGGCCUUGCGCGAACGGAGCGGCCGAUGGCAGAUUAGGUAGUUGGUGGGGUAAAGGCUUACCAAGCCUACGAUCUGUAGCUGGUCUGAGAGGACGACCAGCCACACUGGGACUGAGACACGGCCCAGACUCCUACGGGAGGCAGCAGUGGGGAAUUUUGGACAAUGGGCGCAAGCCUGAUCCAGCCAUGCCGCGUGCAGGAUGAAGGCCUUCGGGUUGUAAACUGCUUUUGUACGGAACGAAAAGCCUCUUUCUAAUAAAGGGAGGUCAUGACGGUACCGUAAGAAUAAGCACCGGCUAACUACGUG